ensembl:lncRNA
GUCAUUGAAAAUAAGAAUGUGUUCUUAACUGACUUGCCUAGUUAAAUUAACAUUAAAUCAACGUGUAAAAGGUGCCAUAAAAUACCAAUUUCCGAUUGUUAUGAAAACUUGAAAUCGGCCCCAAUUAAUCGGUCGACCUCUAGACGGUAGUGUUAUUGUUCUAAGAUUGUAGAGUGGUGUGAUGGAUGCAUGGAUGGAUGGAUAGGUGGUGGGAGUACAUUAGGAGAAGGAUUCCACACGUUGUUGUGGUAGAUAAGCUGUAUCAGUCACUGUCUGACAGUGGACAGGCUUUUUGCUGUAGUGUUGGUAGUGUAGGUUAGGACUAGUAACAGGGAUGUUGUAGUGUUAGUGUAUGUUAGGAGUAGUAACAGGGAUGUUGCCGUGGAGGUUAGGACUAGUAACAGGGAUGUUGUAGUGUUAGUGUAGGUUAGGACUAGUAACAGGGAUGUUGUGGUGUUGGUGGAGGUCAGGACUAGUAACAGGGAUGUUGUGGUGUUAGUGUAGGUUAGGACUAGUAACAGGGAUGUUGCAGUGUUGGUGGAGGUUAGGACUAGUAAUAGGGAUAUUGUAGUGUUGGUAACAGGGAUGUUGUAGUGUUGGUGGAGGUUAGGAGUAGUAACAGGGAUGUUGUAGUGUUGGUGGAGGUUAGGACUAGUAACAGGGAUGUUGUAGUGGUGUUUGUAGGUUAGGACUAGUAACAGGGAUGUUGUGGUGUUGGUAGAGGUUAGGACUAGUAACAGGGAUGUUGUAGUGUUGGUAGAGAUUAGGACUAGUCACAGGGAUGUUGUAGUGUUGGUGGAGGUUAGGACUAGUAACAGGGAUGUUGUGGUGUUGGUGGAGGUCAGGACUAGUAACAGGGAUGUUGUAGUGGUGGUCAGGACUAGUAACAGGGAUGUUGUAGUGGUGGUGGAGGUUAGGACUAGUAACAGGGAUGUUGUAGUGUUGGUGGAGGUCGGGACUAGUAGCAGGGAUGUUGUAGUGUUGGUGGAGGUCAGGACUAGUAACAGGGAUGUUGUAGUGUUGGUAGAGAUUAGGACUAGUAACAGGGAUGUUGGGGUGUUGGUGGAGGUUAGGACUAGUAACAGGGAUGUUGUAGUGUUGGUGGAGGUCAGGACUAGUAACAGGGAUGUGGUGGUGGAGGUCAGGACUAGUAACAGGGAUGUUGUAGUGGUGGUGGAGGUCAGGACUAGUAACAGGGAUGUUGUAGUAGGGAUGUUGUAGUGUUGGUGGAGGUCAGCUCUAGUAACAGGGAUGUUGUAGUGUUGGUGGAGGUUAGGAGUAGUAACAGGGAUGUUGUAGUGUUGGUGGAGGUCAGGACUAGUAACAGGGAUGUUGUAGUGUUGGUGGAGGUCAGGACUAGUAACAUGGAUGUUGUGGUGUAGGUUAGGACUAGUAACAGGGAUGUUGUAAUGUUGGUGUAGGUCGGGACUAGUAACAGGGAUGUUGUAGUGUUGGUGGAGGUCGGGACUAGUAACAGGGAUGUUGUAGUGUUGGUGGAGGUUAGGAGUAGUAACA